GAUGAACGCUGACAGAAUGCUUAACACAUGCAAGUCAACUGUGGAGGACGGGUGAGUAACGCGUAAAGAACUUGCCUCACAGCUAGGGACACAAUUUGGAAACGCAUGCUAAUACCUGAUACUGUGAGAGAGCUUUGAUGCCCAUUAGCUAGUUGGAGAGGUAGCGGCUCACCAAGGCGAUGAUGGGUAGCCGGCCUGAGAGGGUGAUCGGCCACAAGGGGACUGAUACGCGGCCCUGACUCCUACGGGAGGCAGCAGUAGGGAAUAAUGGACAAUGGACCAAAGUCUUAGCCAGCAAUUCUGUGGGAACGAUUAAGUUUUCGGAAUGUAAAGUGCUUUCAGUUGGGAAGCGGUACCAACAGAAAAAGUGACGGCUAAAUACGUGCCAGCAGCCGCGGUAAUAC
rnacentral:rRNA from 1 species